UGGCUUUCAAAGCAUCUACAUAGCUGACA
rnacentral:piRNA from 2 species